rnacentral:misc_RNA from 1 species
AGCUCUAGCUUUCUAUUGACUCCCUCUCGUGUCUCAUAUGUCUGCAACACGAAUGACUUGGGAAUUUUUAUAUAGCUACAAUUGCAUAAAGGAUUCAAUAUCUUCCCAAAAUACACAUGAUAUGAGACUCAAGUUUUCAUGUCAGACAUGAUUUGACAAGUGCAAUCCAAGAGCAUCCUACCUAAGUGAAAUAAGACAAAACCAGAAGACAUUAAGGACAGUAGCAGAAACUGAGGCAAUUGGACUCAUGCAGUGUUAAACCCAGAUGGAAGAGCAGAAUAGUCACUAUGUCAACAAUUUUCUUUUCUUUGAGGUACGGGCGAGGAAAAGAAUUAUUAUUCCCAAGUGCACAAAAAGAGUCAACCCCAUUUGGAGGUUUAUAACUUUGGUUGGACCAGAAUUGGGUAAUGGCCUUUUUCCUUUUUAUCCUUAAUUUAUAUGGAUGAACACACAUACAUCAAUUUCCCUGAUACAACACAAUAGGAGUGCUGAUAUCAAUGUCUUUCUAUUGCUAAACAAUUCAUAAUUUUGUUCGCUUUUUCUUCAUUCCAGAUCUUUUUCUUUUCCCUACCUAUAAAUGUAAAAUUCCUUAAUUGCUUGAAUCUAGAUCUCCUGGGCACAUUGACCCAUUUUUGGGUCCAUGAUGCAAUAAAAGUGAUCUAGCUUACUCCUAUAAACCAGCUGUUAAUGUAAGCUAGUUAGGACACCAAAGUUAAUCCUUCAAUCCACCACCAAAACCAGGCCAUCUUUGGUUUCACUUUGCUGCCACUAUCAUCAAUAUCUCAACCUCCCUGCACUCUCCUGGAGACCAUCAAUCUAUCAACCUUCAUUGGUAAUUUCACUUAGGGAGUCUUUCUUUGAGCCCAAGAAAUCAAAUGGAUCUGAAACACUUGUUUUUGGCUGAAAGGGAUAUUCCAGCCUGGAAUGAGCAAUUAGCCAAAAGAGUUGAAAUGAAACAAAAUUCAAAAUGAAAUAGCAUAGCUAGAUAUUGGUCCAGCAAUUACAUGUAUUAUAGAUCUUAUCAAAGAGAAGAUUAGCAAAUGACACAACCAUGGAAAAGAAUGUCACAGGGUGCCAAUGUAUGAUGCAAAUAAUAAGCAUGAGGCUCAUGGCAUUCUAAGAAUUAGGUAGGAAAACGAGAAAUCAUAGCUAGCAAUACAGUAGCCAAGCAAUUACAUGUAUUAUAUUGCUUAUCAAAGAAAACCUUAAUGCACAAAUCAAA